GUUUACUGUCACAGUUUCAUUAUAAAGGAAAUACUUGGAAGCCUAAACAAGAUUGAGCUUGCUCGAUCUUGGAUGGUAGAUCACUGGGGAAUACCAGGUGCUGUGAGCU
ensembl:rRNA 5S_rRNA 5S ribosomal RNA